UACGUAGGUGGCAAGCGUUGUCCGGAUUUAUUGGGUUUAAAGGGUGCGUAGGCGGUCCUGUAAGUCAGUGGUGAAAUACGGCAGCUUAACUGUAGAACUGCCAUUGAUACUGUAAGGCUUGAGUACUGAUGAGGUAGGCGGAAUUGAUAGUGUAGCGGUGAAAUGCAUAGAUAUUAUCAAGAACACCGAUUGCGAAGGCAGCUUACUAAGGAGUUACUGACACUGAGGCACGAAAGCGUGGGGAUCAAACAGG
rnacentral:rRNA from 1 species